AUCAGUAUUCUUGCAUAUUGUCAAUGAGUCUGACCUGAAUUUCAUAAAAAAAUUGUGUCGAAAGGAAACAAAUAUUUGCCGUUGUUUUGAACCAUGCAAUCGCAUAAUAAGACCUCUUGAGAUCGCACGGUUAAGCCAAGUUACUUGCAAGAUUCUAACAAAAGGACCUUGCAAUCUUAAGGUAUUAACUUUUGUAUUCAUUUACUAUGAUCCCUAAGUAUCUUCUUCAUCUCAGUUCAAGUCCCUUUUUGUAUUUUAUGAGUCCUUCAACUUCCAUUUUUAUCCAAUUUGAUCCAUGUCCUCUUCAUUUAUUCGUCCUUGGUCCGAAUCAACUUUUGAAAUUUUAUAAUUUGAUCACGUACUAUUACAGUUAUUUUUCUUUAGCUCUUUUUUGGGCCCAUUUUCACUUCUUUUUAUCAUUAACCUUCCAACAUUGAAUUUAUCAUACAACAAUCAAUUUUUAACCAAAUUAAGUAAAAAUUCCACCAAACCGACUUCCAAAUAUCAACUUUUGACAACCCUAAGAGCCU
rnacentral:lncRNA from 1 species